UCCGGGGUCCUCAUGGAUCUGUCCAAAAGAGACCAUGAAACGUAUGGUGCAAUAGCCCUACUUUUGGUGGGAAAAAUAUACAGCCAUUCUGGUGAAGCAGUUUGGGCCCCAUGGUAUCCCUGUGACAGUAUUUCCCAAAAGGGAAUAUAAGGAUAAACCAGAAGCCAUGCCGCUCCAAAGUAAUACAUUCCAAGAAGGGACAGAAGUCAAGUGUGAAGCAAAUGGUGCUGUUCCCGAUGACCCUUCUCCUGUCCCGCAUCCCGAGCUGAGCUUGGCUGAAAGCCUGUGGACUUCCAAACCACCACCUCUCUUCCAUGAAGGAGCACCUUAUCCUCCCCCUUUGUUUAUCAGGGACACAUAUAACCAAUCAAUACCUCAGCCACCUCCUCGGAAAAUUAAGCGACCCA
rnacentral:lncRNA from 1 species